GCUUGAGGUGCAAAACCCUUUACCUGGACACAGAUAAUUCCCCUACUGCAUGCUCCUUCCACGGCCAUGCCACUGAUUAUGCAAACUAGGAUUACGAAAGAGGUUAUUGCAUUCCAAAGUGCGUAAAAUGAGAGCCAAAGCAAGCAAGUCGUCUGAAAUGUCUGAGACCGUCCGGGAUUAAUAAGGGCAAGAAUUCUUCUUUUUUUCUUUUUUGGGUGGGUGUAGGUCUAGAGAAGAGAGAGAUGAACCAAUCAAUAAUGGAUAGAGGAUGCAGUUACUGGGUUAGCUUAUGCUUUUGCUUUUACUUUUUGUUAUUCCCCCUUUAAUCAAAACGAUGCUGAAUGGUGAUGGGAGAGGCAGAAAAAGUAGCUCUAUGAAUUGUGAGACAUACUUAUUGCCAGUUCUCGAGAAGUGAAGGAACUGAAUUUUAGAACAACAGAGUCAUGGUUUUGGAGGUAACUCUCUUUCAAACAUAUCUUUCCGAAGCAGAAUUUAACAGGUUUUUCAUUUUUUAGCUGCGGAUUAAAUUUACAUGAACACUCUGUUUGAAUGAUUUUUGUUCUGAGAGCAGGGGAUACGGUAGGAACAAUCAUUCCAGGUUCAUUACACAAAUGGAGUGUCUUGGAAUCAAUUAUAUUGUACAUAAGCUUCGUUGAUGAGAAAGGAAGAAACUGAAUAGAACUUGAUCUUCAAUGAGUUUACUCUAGAAAUCCAAUGGAAAAUUUCAUAUGAAUCUCUUAAAUCCCAGUUAAAAGCCAUCAAAACGUUUCUAGAAUGCCACCAUUUGAAUGAUGCUGGUAGACCUUUAGAUGGCAGCACAGAAUCACUAUCUCUCAUGCCUGUCAUCUAUAGUUUUGCCACUUGCUGAUUGCUUUGAUUGUGUGUAUGAGUGAGGUGAUUAAUUUGCAAAGCAGAGAGUUACUCAAGCAAUGCCAUUCCCAUUCCCUAAAGCUUAGAGUCAUUGCAGGAGAGAAAGGAUUUUUUGCAUUGGCUCCUCCACACCAAGGGAUCGAUGGAGACUGGACUGACCGCUCUGGAGUCAUUGUGUACAAAUGGAAUGAAAAGAAUGAUAGACCAAACACUGGACGUGCCAAUUGGAAGAAAAGAUGGAGCUGCUGUCAAGAGUAUGAUGAAAAUGCACCACCUUGUAGCCGUGGGUGGCAUGUCUCAUAUGAUGAUGGCUUCACUUUGUAUUAGAUAUCAUUAUUUUUAAUAUAAUACCACAUUGUAAAUUCAACUGCAUUUCAACUCGUGACAACUAGUGCUUGUGCUACUGCUCUGCA